rnacentral:rRNA from 1 species
GAGGAAUAUUGGUCAAUGGGCGCAAGCCUGAACCAGCCAUGCCGCGUGCAGGACGACGGCCCUAUGGGUUGUAAACUGCUUUUGUACGGGAAGAAACAACGCUUCGUGAAGCGUCUUGACGGUACCGUAAGAAUAAGGAUCGGCUAACUCCGUGCCAGCAGCCGCGGUAAUACGGAGGAUCCAAGCGUUAUCCGGAAUCAUUGGGUUUAAAGGGUCCGUAGGCGGGCCUGUAAGUCAGUGGUGAAAUCCGGCGGCUUAACCGUCGAACUGCCAUUGAUACUGCAGGCCUUGAAUUUCCGGGAAGUGACUAGAAUAUGUAGUGUAGCGGUGAAAUGCUUAGAGAUUACAUGGAAUACCGAUUGCGAAGGCAGGUCACUACCGGUGGAUUGACGCUGAUGGACGAAAGCGUGGGGAGCGAAC